GUGUGCAUGUAUAUAUACAUAUAUAUAUAUACACAUACAUAUAUACACAUAUACAUAUAUAUGUGUGUAUAUACACACACACACAUAUAUACAUAUACACACAUUUCCCCAUGCUGAAUCAGAGAUUUACAUAAAACAUCCUGCUAUGCUCAGGGGAAAGAUACUUGUAGUGAGUUAAAUUAUUAGUUUUACAAAAAAGGCAAGGUAGAUUAGACACCAAACACCACAGUUGGUUAGAAAUAUUUAUUAUCCCCUCCCCCCACAUACAGAUUACUUCUCAGAAACAUGAAGAUAUUAUCCAUGUCCUCAUCAAUUACAGUUUGUAGAAAAUAAACUUAACUCAUAUCCCAUCAACAAUGUAUUUCUAUCAUUUUUUUAAACAAUAGCCAUUUCAUUUUUCCAUGUUAGUUCCAGAAUAGCUUCAAGUUUUAUCUUUUGGAUCGAAUCCAGUCAAUCUUUGUUUAUAGGUAACAGUUUCCUAACAGAUCCCCUCCCCCAACCCCUAAAAAAAUUCUAUAUCCUAAGUGAUAAACUCUUCUUGUACAUUCAGCAAACUUUAUAUUGGAAAAGAAAAAGAAUAAUUGAGAUAGGUAUUUACUUUCGUGCACAGUAAUAAAUCUAGCUGAGCUGCUACACCUUGCUUUGCAAAGAUGUUUACAUAAAAUAAAUCAUCUCUUAUCAAGUUACAAUGGUAAUUUCUUGAAAUGUAGAUAUGAAAGCUAUACACUUAAUCCACUGAAAUUUCCUUCUAAUUUUUUAAUCUGUAAUUAAACCAUCACCAUAAGGACAAGCUUCAUCCCAAGAUGUUCCCCCUUUUCCCCUCAGCUAUUUCUAUCAACUUGAAUCCUCUCUCAGAUCAUGUAAAGAGAUACAUUAAAAGCACAGGAAAAAAAAUGUUUUAGCUUGCUGACAUAAUGCCCUUAAGUUUGCUGACAUAAUGCCCACAUUUUAACUUUAAAAUGUAAAAUCAAAGUUAAAGCAUCACUUAAUUCAUACAGUACAUUAUUAAUCAACAGUGUCCCACCAACUCAGAAGUUUCCUAAAUUGGCUGCUUUCUCUGCAUUUAGUAAGUUUAUAACCAAUGACUCAAUCAAAGAAUGUGCUUGUAAUAGGCUGCUGGUUUAAUUUUAGAAUCAAAAGUUUUAUAUUGGGCUACUUUCAAAUAUAGAAAUGCUAUGAGUGACAUAUGAACUAUUAAUUU
rnacentral:lncRNA from 10 species